rnacentral:rRNA from 2 species
AUAUCAAUAAGCGGAGGAAAAGAAACCAACAGGGAUUGCCUUAGUAACGGCGAGUGAAGCGGCAACAGCUCAAAUUUGAAAUCUGGCUCUUUUAGAGUCCGAGUUGUAAUUUGCAGAGGGCGCUUUGGCUUUGGCAGCGGUCCAAGUUCCUUGGAACAGGACGUCACAGAGGGUGAGAAUCCCGUACGUGGUCGCUAGACAUUGCCGUGUAAAGCCCCUUCGACGAGUCGAGUUGUUUGGGAAUGCAGCUCUAAAUGGGAGGUAAAUUUCUUCUAAAGCUAAAUACUGGCCAGAGACCGAUAGCGCACAAGUAGAGUGAUCGAAAGAUGAAAAGCACUUUGGAAAGAGAGUCAAACAGCACGUGAAAUUGUUGAAAGGGAAGCGCUUGCAGCCAGACUUGCCUGUAGUUGCUCAUCCGGGUUCUUACCCGGUGCACUCUUCUGCGGGCAGGCCAGCAUCAGUUUGGGCGGUUGGAUAAAGGUCUCUGGCACGUUCCUCUCUUCGGAGUGGCCAUAUAGGGGAGACGACAUACAACCAGCCUGGACUGAGGUCCGCGCAAUCUUGCUAGGAUGCUGGCGCAAUGGCUGUAAGCGGC